rnacentral:ncRNA from 1 species
CCAAAGGCUAGGAAAGGGAAAGUAGGUAGGUAGAAGGUUUCCAGCGAGCCGGGAAUAAGGUGGAAGCCCGGUAACCAUCUCCUACUGAAAGCCACCCUGGAGCUUCCAGCCGAAAGGGUAAACCUAAGUAGGCCAGGACGGAAGACCCCGUUAUCGGUCGCGCCUGCUUUAGGCGCUAAAUGAGGUGGGCCAUUUUAUGGCCAAUAAGGGUGGUACCGCGGGAAAGCCUCCCGUCCCUUAG